UCCAGGCUAGAACCCAGACCUGUGAUCUGCUGGCCGGACACAACAUAAGGGUACGUUGGAGAAUAGUCUCUCAUGCCCUUCAACCAUCUCUCUCAGUGACAAGAGAGCAUUCGUAGCCCACCUGUGGUGGUUUAAAUGAGGAUGCCCCCCACCCCCCAUAACUUUGGUCCCCAGUUGUGGAACGAUUUGGGAAGUAUUAGGAGGAAAAUUGUCACUGUAGAGGAAGUGAUGUCACUGUAGAGGAAGUGCUCAGCAGGAGGAUAAGGUGCUCUCCCAAGCAGGACUUGAUCUAGACAUGGUUGCUUCUCCAAAAGACUGGCAGAAGUCCCAGUCACUCAUGUAAGGAGGAGCAGAGCUUCAUGGAGAUUGCGUGCUGUGUCUACUGGAGAUGCCUAGUAAGGACUGGGACAAGCAUGGUCAUCAUUUAGUCCAUAGCCCCUUCUCAUACCUUCAUACACUACCCACCCAAUCUGGGCUUCCUAAUCCUUACAUUGUGUCCCCUGGGGCUUUUGACUUCUCAUAUUGGCUGGGUAUAUCUACUUUAGAUGGUCUGUUUUUAGGUAGU